rnacentral:tRNA from 1 species
GGGCCUAUAGUAAAACGGCAUUACGCAGCAUUCGCAUUGCUGAGGUCCGGGUUCAAUUCCCGGUAGGUCCACCA